rnacentral:rRNA from 1 species
CCCUUAGAUGUCCUGGGCCGCACGCGCGUUACACUGAUGCAUUCAACGAGCUUAUAACCUUGGCCGAGAGGCCUGGGCAAUCUUGUUAACGUGCAUCGUGAUAGGGAUAGAUUAUUGAAAUUAUUAAUCUUGAACGAGGAAUUCCUAGUAAACGCAGAUCAUCAAUCUGCAUUGAUUACGUCCCUGCCCUUUGUACACACCGCCCGUCGCACCUACCGAUUGAGUGGUCCGGUGAGGCUUUGGGAUCUGAGCAAAAAGAGCGUUUCGCUCGUUUGGCUCGGAAAACUCAGUCGAACCUUAUCAUUUAGAGGAAGGAGAAGUCGUAACA